rnacentral:rRNA from 1 species
GACAGAGGGGGCAAGCGUUGCUCGGAAUCACUGGGCGUAAAGGGCGCGUAGGCGGGAUGGCAAGUCGGUCGUGAAAUCCCCGGGCUCAACCCGGGAACUGCGUCCGAUACUGGCAGGCUUGAAUCCGGGAGAGGGAUGCGGAAUUCCAGGUGUAGCGGUGAAAUGCGUAGAUAUCUGGAGGAACACCGGUGGCGAAGGCGGCAUCCUGGACCGGUAUUGACGCUGAGGCGCGAAAGUCAGGGGAGCAAACGGG